rnacentral:rRNA from 1 species
UGGUAAUGCCGGAUGCUCCAGUUGAUCGCAUGGUCUUCUGGGAAAGCCUUUGCGGCAUGGGAUGGGGUCGCGUCCUAUCAGCUUGAUGGCGGGGUAACGGCCCACCAUGGCUUCGACGGGUAGCCGGCCUGAGAGGGCGACCGGCCACAUUGGGACUGAGAUACGGCCCAGACUCCUACGGGAGGCAGCAGUGGGGAAUAUUGCACAAUGGGCGCAAGCCUGAUGCAGCGACGCCGCGUGAGGGAUGGAGGCCUUCGGGUUGUAAACCUCUUUUGUUAGGGAGCAAGGCAUUUUGUGUUGAGUGUACCUUUCGAAUAAGCACCGGCUAACUACGUGCCAGCAGCCGCGGUAAUACGUAGGGUGCAAGCGUUAUCCGGAAUUAUUGGGCGUAAAGGGCUCGUAGGCGGUUCGUCGCGUCCGGUGUGAAAGUCCAUCGCUUAACGGUGGAUCCGCGCCGGGUACGGGCGGGCUUGAGUGCGGUAGGGGAGACUGGAAUUCCCGGUGUAACGGUGGAAUGUGUAGAUAUCGGG